rnacentral:rRNA from 1 species
GAGUUUGAUCUUGGCUCAGGACGAACGCUGGCGGCGUGCCUAACACAUGCAAGUCGAACGGAGUAGCUCGGCGGAAGUUUUCGGAUGGAAGCCGAAUUACUUAGUGGCGGACGGGUGAGUAACGCGUGAGUAACCUGCCUUUCAGAGGGGGAUAACGUCUUGAAAAGGACGCUAAUACCGCAUGACAUUCCGGGGCCGCAUGGUUCUGGAAUCAAAGGAGCAAUCCGCUGAAAGAUGGACCUCGCGUCCG